rnacentral:tRNA from 2 species
GCGGGAGUAGCUCAGUUGGUAGAGCUUCAGCCUUCCAAGCUGACUGUCGCCGGUUCGAGCCCGGUCUCCCGCU